UUUAAAGAGAGUUUGAUCCUGGCUCAGGACGAACGCUGGCGGCGUGCCUAAUACAUGCAAGUCGAACGAACGGAGGAAGAGCUUGCUCUUCCAAAGUUAGUGGCGGACGGGUGAGUAACACGUGGGCAACCUGCCUGUAAGUUGGGGAUAACUCCGGGAAACCGGGGCUAAUACCGAAUGAUAAAGUGUGGCGCAUGCCACGCUUUUGAAAGAUGGUUUCGGCUAUCGCUUACAGAUGGGCCCGCGGUGCAUUAGCUAGUUGGUAGGGUAAUGGCCUACCAAGGCAACGAUGCAUAGCCGACCUGAGAGGGUGAUCGGCCACACUGGGACUGAGACACGGCCCAGACUCCUACGGGAGGCAGCAGUAGGGAAUCUUCCGCAAUGGACGAAAGUCUGACGGAGCAACGCCGCGUGUAUGAAGAAGGUUUUCGGAUCGUAAAGUACUGUUGUUAGAGAAGAACAAGGAUAAGAGUAACUGCUUGUCCCUUGACGGUAUCUAACCAGAAAGCCACGGCUAACUACGUGCCAGCAGCCGCGGUAAUACGUAGGUGGCAAGCGUUGUCCGGAUUUAUUGGGCGUAAAGCGCGCGCAGGCGGUCUUUUAAGUCUGAUGUGAAAGCCCCCGGCUUAACCGGGGAGGGUCAUUGGAAACUGGAAGACUGGAGUGCA
rnacentral:rRNA from 1 species